rnacentral:rRNA from 1 species
AACGUAGGACGCAAGCGUUAUCCGGAGUUACUGGGCGUAAAGGGCAGGCAGGCGGGUCGAUAAGUCGGAUGUGAAAUCUCCCUGGCUUAACCGGGAGAGUGCAUUUGAGACUGUCAACCUGGAGGGCAGCAGAGGAGCGUGGAAUUCCGGGUGGAGUGGUGAAAUGCGUAGAGAUCCGGAGGAACACCAGUGGCGAAGGCGGCUCACUGGCCCGGUACUGACGCUGAGGUGCGAAAGCGUGGGGAGCAAACGGG